rnacentral:lncRNA from 1 species
UGCUGAUAUGUUGCCUAAAAAAGACAGUGAACAGUUAAAAAGAAAAGAAAAGGAAUGUGGGAAAGAAGUUGAAACAACAACUCAAACAGACUCUGAAAUCACUGGUCACAGAAUUGAGGACAUUAGGAAAGAAUUUGGAUCAGGUUGUGCAGAAGCGAAGCGAUACCCACAAGCAACUUUCUGAAGAGCAGAAUGCCAGAAUAUUACAAGAUGAGAUUCUGACCAGUAAGCAAAAGGAGGUCAAAGGGGCUCAAAAGAAAAUGAAUUCUGCGAUAUUUUCUUUAGUCAUUUUCAAAUAUGUUUUUGUAUGUGUAUAUAUUUGAAAAACCAACUCUAUGUACCUUGGAAAAUAUAAAGUAUUUUUAAAUUAUAUAUAUAUACACACACACACACAUAUCCUAUGUGUUUGUGUAUCUAUAUAUAGAAUAUACACUUGUGUGUGUGUGUGUAGGAUAAAGCCAUAUUCUUAAUUCAGCUCCAUUAGUCUGCAGCAGUGAAGUAGUGACAUUCACAAUGGCCUCAAUCCAAAGAAGAAGCAUUUGAUAUUUUUUAUAAGAAUUGAUGAUCUUCCCAUAAUCUCAAAAUUUUUGGUACUAACAACAGACGUUCUAGUUUUUG